UAUCCGGUCCACAGUAUACACAGGAUAUAAAUAGGGAGCAAAAGGAUGUCCCAUCAUUAAAUUGUAUCAGUUCAAUACAUACGAUCUCCAAGAUGCUGAAACUCGUGGUGGUAGCUGCUCUCCUGGCCUUCGCCGCCGCCAAGCCCCUGGUAGUGGAAUACCCGAUCACAGUAGAAUCCUACUCCUCGCCUGUAGUAGAGUACUCUGCUCCGGUCUACUACUCGGACUACUACUCCACCUACGAGUAUGCGCCAUACUACGAUCAUUACCACACUCAUCACUACUACGACUAAUAUGACGUCAUAAACCGGAUUCGAAAUAAAAUGACUAUAUACUGCAAA